GAUGUACGCUAGCUACAGGCUUAACACAUGCAAGUCGAGGGGCAGCACAGUGUAGCAAUACAUGGGUGGCGACCGGCGCACGGGUGCGUAACGCGUAUCCAACCUUCCCGAUACUCAGGGAUAGCCUUCCGAAAGGGAGAUUAAUACCUGAUGGUGUUUUAAUUCCGCAUGUUAAUGAAACUAAAGAUUUAUCGGUAUCGGAUGGGGAUGCGUGACAUUAGAUAGUAGGCGGGGUAACGGCCCACCUAGUCUACGAUGUCUAGGGGUUCUGAGAGGAAGGUCCCCCACACUGGAACUGAGACACGGUCCAGACUCCUACGGGAGGCAGCAGUGAGGAAUAUUGGUCAAUGGUCGGAAGACUGAACCAGCCAAGUAGCGUGAAGGAUGAAGGUUCUAUGGAUUGUAAACUUCUUUUAUACGGGAAUAAACCUCCACGUGUGGGAGCUUGUAUGUACCGUAUGAAUAAGCAUCGGCUAACUCCGUGCCAGCAGCCG
rnacentral:rRNA from 1 species